GACGAACGCUGGCGGCGUGCUUAACACAUGCAAGUCGAACGGAAAGGCCCUGCUUUUGUGGGGUGCUCGGGUGGCGAACGGGUGAGUAACACGUGAGUAACCUGCCCUUGACUUUGGGAUAACUUCAGGAAACUGGGGCUAAUACCGGAUAGGAGCUCCUGCUGCAUGGUGGGGGUUGGAAAGUUUCGGCGGUUGGGGAUGGACUCGCGGCUUAUCAGCUUGUUGGUGGGGUAGUGGCUUACCAAGGCUUUGACGGGUAGCCGGCCUGAGAGGGUGACCGGCCACAUUGGGACUGAGAUAUGGCCCAGACUCCUACGGGAGGCAGCAGUGGGGAAUAUUGCACAAUGGGCGGAAGCCUGAUGCAGCAACGCCGCGUGCGGGAUGACGGCCUUCGGGUUGUAAACCGCUUUCGCCUGUGACGAAGCGUGAGUGACGGUAAUGGGUAAAGAAGCACCGGCUAACUACGUG
rnacentral:rRNA from 1 species